AUUGAACGCUGGCGGCAGGCCUAACACAUGCAAGUCGAGCGGAUGAAGGGAGCUUGCUCCUGGAUUCAGCGGCGGACUGGUGAGUAAUGCCUAGGAAUCUGCCUGGUAGUGUGGGAUAACGUCCGGAAACGGGCGCUAAUACCGCAUACGUCCUGAGGGAGAAAGUGGGGGAUCUUCGGACCUCACGCUAUCAGAUGAUCCUAGGUCGGAUUAGCUAGUUGGUGGGGUAAAGGCCUACCAAGGCGACGAUCCGUAACUGGUCUGAGAGGAUGAUCAGUCACACUGGAACUGAGACACGGUCCAGACUCCUACGGGAGGCAGCAGUGGGGAAUAUUGGACAAUGGGCGAAAGCCUGAUCCAGCCAUGCCGCGUGUGUGAAGAAGGUCUUCGGAUUGUAAAGCACUUUAAGUUGGGAGGAAGGGCAGUAAGUUAAUACCUUGCUGUUUUGACGUUACCAACAGAAUAAGCACCGGCUAACUUCGUG
rnacentral:rRNA from 1 species